GCGGGUGUAGCUCAGGGGUAGAGCGUUACCUUGCCAAGGUAAAUGUCGUGAGUUCGAAUCUCAUCACCCGCUCCA
rnacentral:tRNA from 37 species